AUGAAUUCAGUUGACCUUGGCCGAGAUGUUGUCGGAGCUUCAGUUUUGUAAAAUACACACUUGUUUGAUCGGGCUGGCACUGUGAGGACCUUGGUGAGGACUUGACGAGCGGACUGCUGAUUCGGGAGAUUCGGAAGACGACACUACAAUUGGCGACGAGGUAGUCGGACCAGACGUGAGGUAUGGAGGGAAUUCGUCCGCCCGCGGCAUUCUUACCUCUUCCAGGCCCGCCGGUGGUGCCGUGGAAUAACUGGUUUCCGGACUUCGAAGUUUAUGCCAUGGCCAUAGGUUGGUCAGCAUGGAGUCAGGAGAGGCAGCAGGCCUUGCUCCUGCACUGCCUUGGGCAGGAAGGGCGGAGACUGUUUAGAGCUGAGUGCCCAGGAGGUAUUGUGAAAACAGAGCCCUCUGACACCACUUUGGUUGAGGAUACAGUAGCUGUCUUAUGUCGUCUGUUUGUCAGUAAGACUGAUAUCAUCUCAGAGAGGAUAAAAUUCAGGAAGUGCAGACAGCAGGCUUCUUCUGUUCGUACCUACCUAGCCAAUCUGAGGGAAGGUAGUCAGAAGUGUGCAUUUGGUAACUUAGAAGAUGAAAUGAUAAGAGAUCAGUUUUUGGAAGGAUGUUCCUCUCAAAGGCUUAAGGAAAGACUGUGUCAGGAAGAAAACCUAACCCUGCAGCGUCUUGAAGUCAUCGCUCUCGCUGCUGAUCAGGCUGCUGACCGUCAACAAACUCUAGCUGGCAGGUCUCCGGAGCUGGGGGCAGAGGUCCUCAAGGAGGUGGCAGCGACUGAGAGGAGAGGCGGCUUCUCCACCCGGCGAGACUCAGAAGGCAAGAAACGACAGCAAGGUGAGAUGACCUGUUUUGCAUGUGGCCGUAAAGGACAUAAAGCCAAGAGUAAGGAGUGUCCAGCCAGGGUCAGGAAGUGUAACAAGUGUCAUGAGAAAGGGCAUUAUGCAGUCAUGUGCAAGCGUCAGGAGUCUUCGCAUGCCUGUGUGGUAGAAGUGUCGACUGUGCACCAUGUGCCCUCUCAAGUGCCUCGUCCCAUGAUGUCUGUUGGCAUUGAUGGAAUUCAGGUCCAGAUGUUGGUGGAUACAGGAUCGGGAGUGAGUCUGAUACCCAGCAGCUUGUAUCAGGAGCAGUUUGCGCACGUCCCUCUACAGAUGUCUUCCAUCAGGCUUCAGGGAUAUGGAGGACACCUUCUGCCUGUUCGUGGUAUGAUGACGGCCACAGUGUCCUCUGACAGGGGAUGUUCGACUGAGGGUACCUUGUUCGUGGUGGAGUCCCACAGUGUACCCCUGCUUGGCCGUGACCUACAGCAGCUGCUUAGUGUUACAGUCAAAGAUGGCAAUGUCGUCUGUGCGGUAGAGGGGGAGGAUGCAGAGGUUCUGCCCGCCAUACACGGCUUUGUCCACAGAGUCAAGGUGAAGGAGGGGGCCACUCCGGUCCGUCAGAAGCUGCGACCCCUGCCGCUGUCGGUCAGGGGUGAAGUGAAGGAGCACCUGGAGAAGCUGGAGAAGCAGGACGUCAUAGAGAGGGUGGACUCCUCUCCAUGGGUGUCACCUGUGGUGGUCACCCGGCGACGGACUGGUGGUAUCCGUCUCUGCUUGGACUUGAAGGAGGUGAACAAGAGCAUCAUCUCAAGUAAGCACCCCUUGCCUGACAUGCAAGAGAUGUUAGAUAAGCUCAGAGGAGCCAGAGUAUUUUCUUCACUAGACAUGAAGUCAGCAUUCAAUCAGUUGAUGCUUCACAAAGAGUCCCGUGACUUGACCGCUUUCAUGACGCACGAGGGUCUGUGGCGCUACAAACGGUGCUGUUUUGGACUGUCGUCCAUUCCAGCGGCAUUCCAGAAGGUCAUGGAAGCCGUCCUGACGGGUCUGCCAGGGGUGAUGGUGUACAUGGAUGACAUCAUUGUGUUUGGCAGGGAUGCACCAGAGCAUGAUGUCCGGCUGCAGCAGGUCCUCGCGCGACUGAACGCUCAUCGUAUCACCCUGAACGAGAAGAAGUGCUUGUUUGGUGUCCCCACACUUGACUUCCUCGGGUUGACAGUGAGCGCAGCUGGCAUCUCGGUCAGUGUUGAGAGGACGAGAGGGAUGACGGAGUUGACGUCACCGCGGACCAAGGCUGACCUCCAGUCAGCUCUGGGCCUUUUUGGCUUCUAUGCCAGGUUCGUGCAGGGCUACUCGUCGCUGGUGGAGCCUCUGCGCGCGGAACUUCGUUCGAGUGCAAGUCACGAGUUCGAGUGGUCUGAGGAACUGGAGCUGGUCUUCAGGAGGGUGAUCGCUCUGAUCACGUCCAGUUCUGCGCUUGCCAUGUUUGACCCCACCUUACCGACAGUGGUGACCACGGACGCGUCUGAUGUUGGUCUCGGUUCGGUGGGGUGCUGAGCCAGAUCCACCCGGAAGGAGAGCGGGUCGUGGCGUUCGCAUCCGCUACCCUCUCCUCAGCACAGCGGAAGUAUUGUGCGACUGAGAAGGAGGCACUGGCUGCUCUAUGGGCUAUUGAACACUGGCAUCGGUACCUGUUUGGCAUUCACUUUACCCUCAGGACGGACCAUCAGGCGCUGCUGCGACUUCUCACGUCCAGAGGAGUCGGACGGGCAGGAAUGAGGAUCAGUCGCUGGGCCAGUCGCCUCCUCGUCUACGACUUCGAGAUCCGUCACGUGCCAGGCAAGUGUAACGUGGCUGACGGUCUCUCGCGUCUGCCGGCAGUGGGCGCGGAAGCGGCUCCAGACGACGAGGAGCAGCUGGUGGCGGAGAUAGCUGAACGGGUGGAGCGUCUCUCGGCAGUGAGCAGAGGCGAGCUCCGCGAGUCAGUUCAGACCGACCCUGUUCUCAGGAAGCUGAAGAGUCAGCUGGACGAAGGGUGGCCGGCAAGGAUUGCCAGCUGUCCUGACGACCUGAGACCGUUCUUCCGCUGCAGGCUGGAGCUGUCAACGGCUGACGGUCUCAUCUUCAAGGGCGACCGGAUCGUGGUUCCGGAGGAGCUGAGAAGGCGUCUUCUGGAUCUUGCUCAUGAGGGGCAUCAAGGCACGGUCACCGGCGGAGCUGCUGCGAGGGAGGCAACUGCGCACCAAGCUGCACGCGGCGGCUGAGCGUCGUCCGGUGGACGACUCGACGACGAGGGCGCGGGUGGCGACGCAGCAGGAAAAGCAGAAAAAGUACUUCGACCUGAGGUAUUGUGCCCGGCCGAGGGACUAUGAAGUGGGAGAAUGGGUGAGGUUUAGGCUGGUGCCCCGCCCCAGGAAAGGUCGGCAGGCCUUCUCGUCUCCGAGAAUGGUGAUGGAAAGGAGGGGACGUGUCUCAUACAAACUCAGCUGUGGGACAUUGGUGCACGCUGAACGACUAACCCGCUCCACAGAUCCUUCGAGCGGAUCGCCGCCAGCGAGACGGAGUGAAGUCGGCGGUUGUCCGUCUCCGGCAGGCGGCGGCGGAGGACCGCCGUCUCCGGCGCGCGGCGACGGAGGACCGCCGCCGUCUCCGGCGCGCGUCGGUGGCGGAGGGCGGCCGUCCCCGACGAGCGCCGGCGAGGGAGGGCCCCCAACGAGCGACGGCGGUGGACCGCUGUCCAGGGGCCGCGCAUCGUCUCCGGCGCGCGGCGACGGAGGACCGCCGCCGUCUCCGGCGGGACCGCCGCCGUCCCCGGCGCGCGGUGAGGGGUCGUCGUCCCCGAUACGUGGCGACGGUGCGCGCGGUGAGGGGUCGUCGUCCCCGAUACGUGGCGACAGUGUGCGCGGUGAGGGGUCGUCGUCCCCGAUACGUGGCAACGGUGCGCGCGGUGAGGGGUCGUCGUCCCCGAUACGUGGCGACGGUGGGGGACCGUCGUCCCUGGCGCGUGACGGUGGGGAACGGCGAACGCGGUGUGGGAGACGCAUCAAGACACCAGCGCGUUUCCGUUAAUGGAGGGGGGAAAAUGUAGUAACUUGGCAGUGAACUAAACGGCAGUGAUUUAACGACCAUGAAUUCAGUUGACCUUGGCCGAGAUGUUGUCGGAGCUUCAGUUUUGUAAAAUACACACUUGUUUGAUCGGGCUGGCACUGUGAGGACCU